rnacentral:sRNA from 1 species
CUUUAAAAAUCUGGAUCAAGCUGAAAAUUGAAACGACACACAGUCAAUGUGUGUUCGAGUCUCUCAAAUUUUCGCAAUUAGAAGUGAAACAUCUUCGG